AGUGAACGCUGGCGGUAGGCCUAACACAUGCAAGUCGAACGGCAGCACAGUAAGAGCUUGCUCUUACGGGUGGCGAGUGGCGGACGGGUGAGGAAUACAUCGGAAUCUACUUUUUCGUGGGGGAUAACGUAGGGAAACUUACGCUAAUACCGCAUACGACCUACGGGUGAAAGCAGGGGAUCUUCGGACCUUGCGCGAUUGAAUGAGCCGAUGUCGGAUUAGCUAGUUGGCGGGGUAAAGGCCCACCAAGGCGACGAUCCGUAGCUGGUCUGAGAGGAUGAUCAGCCACACUGGAACUGAGACACGGUCCAGACUCCCACGGGAGGCAGCAGUGGGGAAUAUUGGACAAUGGGCGCAAGCCUGAUCCAGCCAUACCGCGUGGGUGAAGAAGGCCUUCGGGUUGUAAAGCCCUUUUGUUGGGAAAGAAAAGCAGCAGGUUAAUACCCCGCUGUUCUGAGGGUACCCAAAGAAUAAGCACCGGCUAACUUCGUG
rnacentral:rRNA from 1 species